AUUGCACGCUGGCGGCAGGCCUAACACAUGCAAGUCGAACGAGUGGCGGACGGGUGAGUAAUGUCUGGGAAAAUGCCCGAUGGAGGGGGCUAACUCCUGGAAACGGUAGCUAAUACCGCAUACCAUCGGAUGUGCCCGUAUGGGAUUAGCUAGUAGGUUGGGUAACGUCUCACCUAGGCGACGAUCCCUAGCUGGUCUGAGAGGCUGACAAGCCACACUGGAACUGAGACACGGUCCAGACUCCUACGGGAGGCAGCAGUGGGGAAUAUUGCACAAUGGGCGCAAGCCUGAUGCAGCCAUGCCGCGUGUAUGAAGAAGGCCUUCGGGUUGUAAAGCACUUUUAGCGAGGAGGCGUUACUCGCAGAAGAAGCACCGGCUAACUCCGUGCCAGCAGCCGCGGUAAUUC
rnacentral:rRNA from 1 species